CAAUAGCGUAUAUUUAAGUUGCUGCAGUUAAAAAGCUCGUAGUUGGAUUUCGGGUGGGAAUGGCCGGUCCGCCGUUUCGGUGUGCACUUGCUACGCCCACCUUGCUGCCGGGGACGUGCUCUUGAGUUCACGCUCGGGACACGGAGUCGGCGAUGUUACUUUGAGUAAAUUAGAGUGUUCAAAGCAGGCCUACGCUCUGAAUACAUUAGCAUGGAAUAACACGAUAGGACUCUGGCCUAUCUUGUUGGUCUGUAGGACCGGAGUAAUGAUUAAGAGGGACAGUCGGGGGCAUUCGUAUUUCAUUGUCAGAGGUGAAAUUCUUGGAUUUAUGAAAGACGAACUACUGCGAAAGCAUUUGCCAAGGAUGUUUUCAUUAA
rnacentral:rRNA from 1 species